rnacentral:rRNA from 1 species
CCUACGGGUGGCUGCAGUCGAGAAUCAUUCACAAUGGGGGAAACCCUGAUGGUGCGACGCCGCGUGGGUGAAUGAAGCUCUUCGGAUGUUAAACCCCUUUCAUGUGGGGGCAAAUUAAAAAGAUAGUACCACAAGAGGAAGAGACGGCUAACUCUGUGCCAGCAGCCGCGGUAAUACAGAGGUCUCAAGCGUUGUUCGGAAUCACUGGGCGUAAAGCGUGCGUAGGCGGUUUCGUAAGUCGGAUGUGAAAGGCGCGGGCUCAACCCGGGGACGGCAGAUGAUACUGCGAGACUAGAGUAAUGGAGGGGGAACUAGAAGUCUAGGUGUAGCAGUGAAAUGCGUAGAGAUCGAGAGGAACACUCGUGGCGAAGGCGGGUUCCUGGACAUAAACUGACGCUGAGGUACGAAGGCGAGGGGAGCGAAAGGGAUUAGAUACCCGGGUAGUC